GGGCAGGUACCGAAGUGGUUAAACGGGGCAGACUGUAAAUCUGCUGGCUUGGGCCUACGGAGGUUCGAAUCCUUCCCUGCCCA
rnacentral:tRNA from 1 species